rnacentral:rRNA from 1 species
UGAGGAAUAUUGGGCAAUGCCCGCAAGGGUGACCCAGCAACGCCGCGUGGAGGAUGAAUGUCGUAAGAUUGUAAACUCCUGUUAGAGGGGAAGAAUAGUACCGGUUGGACCGGUAUAUGACUGUACCCUCAGGGAAAGCCCCGGCUAACUACGUGCCAGCAGCCGCGGUAAUACGUAGGGGGCAAGCGUUGUCCGGAUUUACUGGGUGUAAAGGGCGCGCAGGCGGGAUAAAAAGUCAGUGGUGAAAUCCUACAGCUUAACUGUAGAACUGCCUUUGAUACUUUUAUUCUUGAGUUCGGGAGAGAGAGACGGAAUUCCAGGUGUAGUGGUGAAAUACGUAGAUAUCUGGAAGAACACCAGUUGCGAAGGCGGUCUCUUGGUCCGACACUGACGCUGAGGCGCGAAAGCGUGGGGAGCAAACA